AACGAACGCUGGCGGCGUGCCUAACACAUGCAAGUCGAGCGAGUGAAUCUCCUUCGGGAGUGAAGCUAGCGGCGGACGGGUGAGUAACACGUGGGCAACCUGCCUCAUAGAGGGGAAUAGCCUUUCGAAAGGAAGAUUAAUACCGCAUAAGAUUGUAGCUUCGCAUGAAGUAGCAAUUAAAGGAGCAAUCCGCUAUGAGAUGGGCCCGCGGCGAAUUAGCUAGUUGGUGAGGUAACGGCUCACCAAGGCGACGAUGCGUAGCCGACCUGAGAGGGUGCUCGGCCAGAUUGGGACUGAGACACGGCCCAGACUCCUACGGGAGGCAGCAGUGGGGAAUAUUGCACAAUGGGGGAAACCCUGAUGCAGCAACGCCGCGUGAGUGAUGACGGCCGUCGGGUUGUAAAGCUCUGUCUUCAGGGACGAUAAUGACGGUACCUGAGGAGGAAGCCACGGCUAACUACGUGCCAGCCGCCGCUGUAAGAC
rnacentral:rRNA from 1 species